UGCGGCGUAGCUCCGUGCGGCUUGACGGCAGACAGCGGUGCCGCUGCUCGGGAGAACAGGAUGCUGUCAGGCCGAGCACACGCACCGACUAACGGAUAGACGCCGCAGCAGCAGCAUCCUUUGUUCGCUGGCGCAGGGUACCAAGCGGUGGCACCCACUGAAAACCUGCAGCACGUGGAGAAGGGAAAGGCGCUCCAUUCUGACUGUCAAAAUCAGCAAUCUGAACCCAAAAAUAGCCAGUAGGCCGACCCGGGAAGGUUGUGCUAGCCACUAGCACAGCCCCAGUCUGAUUGUCUGGCUGACAGGAGAGGACGAGGCGGG